CAAGGAGUAAUGCUGCUUUUCACACAGAAAGGGCUUCUACUGUGCCUGACCUUAAGACAGGAAAAGUAGGGGAGCUAAGGAAGCUACCUACACCGCCCUCACCCCCAGUAGCCAGGCUCAGGAAGGAAGAGGCACAGCGGUGUGAAUGGAUGGAGAAGAGGAGGCCGGUAGGCUGAGCCCCUGGCUCCUGGAACGAACACACAGCCAUGGCAGAGGAGAAUGUGGCUUGAAUAGGUUCCAUGACUUGUACAAGACCACAGCUGGUACAUGAUGAAGCAAGGACAAGACACGGGCAUCUGACCUCAAGAGUUUCUCCAAUCAUGAAAUACCUGUAUGAGUUAUCUAUUGCUGCAUAACAAAUUGCCCCAAUAUUUAGUAGCUUAGGAGCAGGAUUGCUGGAAUGGUGGGAUAAAACUUAGUGGCUUAAAACAACA
rnacentral:lncRNA from 1 species